UACGGAGGGGGCUAGCGUUGUUCGGAAUUACUGGGCGUAAAGCGCACGCAGGCGGAUCGGAAAGUUGGGGGUGAAAUCCCGGGGCUCAACCUCGGAACUGCCUUCAAAACUACUGGUCUUGAGUUCGAGAGAGGUGAGCGGAAUUCCGAGUGUAGAGGUGAAAUUCGUAGAUAUUCGGAGGAACACCAGUGGCGAAGGCGGCUCACUGGCUCGAUACUGACGCUGAGGUGCGAAAGCGUGGGGAGCAAAC
rnacentral:rRNA from 1 species